GUCCGUAGGCGUCUAUCUGCAGUCGACGACUCUGGUAUUGAUUGGUGCUUGCAUCAUGAUUUACAUUUGAGUGAGUGGCGAACUGGUGAGUAACACGUGGGAAACCUGCCCAGAAGCGGGGGAUAACACCUGGAAACAGAUGCUAAUACCGCAUAACAACUUGGACCGCAUGGUCCGAGCUUGAAAGAUGGCUUCGGCUAUCACUUUUGGAUGGUCCCGCGGCGUAUUAGCUAGAUGGUGGGGUAACGGCUCACCAUGGCAAUGAUACGUAGCCGACCUGAGAGGGUAAUCGGCCACAUUGGGACUGAGACACGGCCCAAACUCCUACGGGAGGCAGCAGUAGGGAAUCUUCCACAAUGGACGAAAGUCUGAUGGAGCAACGCCGCGUGAGUGAAGAAGGGUUUCGGCUCGUAAAACUCUGUUGUUAAAGAAGAACAUAUCUGAGAGUAACUGUUCAGGUAUUGACGGUAUUUAACCAGAAAGCCACGGCUAACUACGUGCCAGCAGCCGCGGUAAUACGUAGGUGGCAAGCGUUGUCCGGAUUUAUUGGGCGUAAAGCGAGCGCAGGCGGUUUUUUAAGUCUGAUGUGAAAGCCUUCGGCUCAACCGAAGAAGUGCAUCGGAAACUGGGAAACUUGAGUGCAGAAGAGGACAGUGGAACUCCAUGUGUAGCGGUGAAAUGCGUAGAUAUAUGGAAGAACACCAGUGGCGAAGGCGGCUGUCUGGUCUGUAACUGACGCUGAGGCUCGAAAGUAUGGGUAGCAAACAGGAUUAGAUACCCUGGUAGUCCAUACCGUAAACGAUGAAUGCUAAGUGUUGGAGGGUUUCCGCCCUUCAGUGCUGCAGCUAACGCAUUAAGCAUUCCGCCUGGGGAGUACGGCCGCAAGGCUGAAACUCAAAGGAAUUGACGGGGGGCCCGCACAAGCGGUGGAGCAUGUGGUUUAAUUCGAAGCUACGCGAAGAACCUUACCAGGUCUUGACAUACUAUGCAAAUCUAAGAGAUUAGACGUUUCCCUUCGGGGACAUGGAUACAGGUGGUGCAUGGAUGUCGUCAGCUCGUGUCGUGAGAUGUUGGGUUAAGUCCCGCAACGAGCGCAACCCUUAUUAUCAGUUGCCAGCAUCAGGUGGGCACUCUGGGUGGAAGAACUGCGGUUGACCGACGGAAGCACGGUGGGGGAUGGACGGUCAAAUCAUUCAAUUG
rnacentral:rRNA from 1 species